rnacentral:lncRNA from 1 species
UCGAGUGUCAGCGAGCAGUUUAUUGCGCUUGUAUCGCAUUUGAAUGUUGACUGUUAGCCAGCAUAAUGGACAGAUUUCUCGUAUUUUGCAUUAGUCUCGUUUUAAUGUUAUUGUGUCAAACUACUCGGAUUCGGUCAGGACUUAUUUAUGUUAUGCGUGUGAUAACUUACUGGUAUGCGGUCUGGGAUCCGAAGCUACAUAGCUUAGAGCCUACGAGUUUUCUGAUCUGUGGCCUAGACGCAUCUAAAAGCCAGAAGGAACGUGAACUUGAAGAAGAAGACAGCUUACAGUCAAUGGAAAUUGUUCUUUGAACUUCUCGACACGCUGCUACUGCUUUAUCAUCACAAUAUUAGCUGACCUGACUUAGUCCACCAAGCUCAGCAUCCCAUUUGUACAUAAAUGCAUCGACCCCCCAAAGACGCAAAACAAUUCCACCACCAGAAAAAGCUGAAACGAGUUUUGCAACUUCACUUCACUUUAACCAUUAUAUAACGUUAUAUUCUUAUAUAACUUUAUAUAACGUGUGCCUAAAUGAUUUUCAGUUGUUUUCUCACUCAAUGGUAAGUAAUAAUUCCACACAAUACAAGUGGACCGUCUUAGUAGUUUAAUUUAGUUUGAUUUAAGGUAUUUAGUACUGACUCAUAACAUUUUUCCUUGGAGCAUGUUAAUCGGCGGAUUAUUCCAUUUUCGAGAAAUUAUAACAUGACAUUCUUUGAGUUUGAUGUUAUAACACUGGGUGAAUGUAAUAUUUUAGGUAAAAACCUCAAAAACCUGUUCUAUUAUAAUACAUGUAGGGAACAGGUUUUUUACUUUUUAACUAUGUUUGUGGAAAUGUUGCUCUUGAAAUUUCACUGAUCAAAUUCAAGGGCCAACAUGUUUCUGCAUCACUGUCAUGGCAAUAGUCACAACUAUGUUUAUUUAAUCAAUAAAAAUGUAAUUAUACUUAUUAUAAAUUGCGUUAUACGUUAGCGCUGCUAAAGUAGUUUCUAGUCCAAUAAUAUUUAUACUUUUCAUACAGAAUUUCUUCAAUACAUCAGCGAUAUUAAACACAUUUUAAUUAG